UAUUUUUACAGGAACAUAAUGCGGAACUUCGAAAAUGUUUGACCAGUUUCCCAUAGAGGCUGCACUUAACCUUCGAAGAAGUGGCUUUUGUUCUCCAUCGACAAUAGAUUCACCACAAAUAUUAGAAUACAGAACCUGAAUCCACAGAUACUUUGAAAAGAUAUCCACGACGACUAAUAGGUAUCGAAACUGACCGUUUUCACUUGCAAUGUUUGACAUAUCAGCGAGGUCCAUGUCCCACUGAUCAUCAAUUCCAGAUACAAUUACACGUGUACGACGAAAAGAAUGACGGAGUUCCUUUCUUAAAGUGUAACUGUCUUGACUUCGUAAUAGUCUUUUUAUCCUGGAUCGUCCAACAUUAGUGAUUCCUUUGGAUUUUAAUAUUCUGUAUAUUUUUUCGGGACAUACAUGUGUGUUUUUAUAUGUGUUUGAUAUUAAAUCAUUUAUUCUAU